CGGGAUGUAGUUCAACUUGGUAGAGCACUUGCUUUGGGUGCAAGAUGUUGCAGGUUCAAAUCCUGUCAUCCCGAC
rnacentral:tRNA from 1 species